rnacentral:lncRNA from 1 species
AGCAACAAGUAGAAGUAUAAUUUUUAGUUGAAGAGUGGUGGUAGUAUAUUUAAGUGGUAGACACAUCAAAGUUCAUGGAAGCUGAGAUAUGGAAUGCAAAUAUGGUAAUAGUAAAAAAAUUAAUUUAUUACAAGAAUUACAUAGUUAUUAGUCGCGAGGGUAGUGUAGGUGGUGAAGCUAUAACAAUAGGAAAUCUUGAUGCAAAGAAUUUAAACAAAUAGAAAUAAUUAAAAAUCAAUAGAAGUAAAAGAGAAGAUCUACUAGGUUGAUAAAAUAAUAGAUCUAAUUG